rnacentral:rRNA from 1 species
CAGUAGCCGCGGUAAUACAGAGGGUGCAAGCGUUAAUCGGAAUUACUGGGCGUAAAGCGCGCGUAGGUGGUUUGUUAAGUUGGAUGUGAGAUCCCCGGGCUCAACCUGGGAACUGCAUUCAAAACUGACUGACUAGAGUAUGGUAGAGGGUGGUGGAAUUUCCUGUGUAGCGGUGAAAUGCGUAGAUAUAGGAAGGAACACCAGUGGCGAAGGCGACCACCUGGACUAAUACUGACACUGAGGUGCGAAAGCGUGGGGAGCAAACAGGAUUAGAUACCCGCGUAGUCCCUGUCUCUUAUAC